rnacentral:rRNA from 1 species
CCUACGGGAGGCAGCAGUAGGGAAUAUUGCUCAAUGGGGGAAACUCUGAAGCAGCAACGCCGCGUGGAGGAUGAAGGUUUUCUGAUUGUAAACUCCUUUUUUUAUAGAAGAUAAUGACGGUAUCUAACGAAUUAGCACCGGCUAACUCCGUUACAGCAGCCGCGGUAAUACGGAGGGUGCAAGCGUUACUCGGAAUCACUGGGCGUAAAGCGCGCGUAGGCGGGAUAGCAAGUCAGAUGUGAAAUCCUAUGGCUUAACCAUAGAACUGCAUUUGAAACUGUUAUUCUAGAGUAUGGGAGAGGUAGGUGGAAUUCUGGGUGUAGGGGUAAAAUCCGUAGAGAUCAAGAGGAAUACUGAUUGCGAAGGCGACCUGCUAGAACAUAACUGACGCUGAUGCGCGAAAGCGUGGGGAGCAAACAGGAUUAGAUACCCGGGUAGUC